rnacentral:lncRNA from 1 species
CCACUAUCUACUGUAUGUAUGAGGUCCUACAGCUGCGCCACUUGUUACUUCCUGACUGAGUCACUGCUCAACUUGAUUAGAAAAGCCAUACAUGACAAGCGAGGGUGGGGCGCUCUAUGUUGAACCAACACUUUCUCACCAUACACAUGUCUACUGGAAGACCAGUCAUUGUUAUAAGCGUUACAGAAUCCCGCACCCUUAUCCUGAAUGGAGUCAGCAGGAGCAGCUGCCAACCCCCUACCCUCGAUGGAGGAACGUGUUCUCCAUCACACAUCAGUUCUCCAUCGGAUCGGCGAUGGAUCAGAUGAUGGAGAGGAUGGACCUCUCCCCACCUACGGCUCCUCCGACUAAUCCGCCUCCUUCCCCCCCUUCAUCUGGCUCCGGCGCGCUUCGUCUUGCGCUCCCGAGGGAGUAUGAUGGAGCGGCGGCUGGGUGCCAGGGAUUUCUGCUCCAGCUCAAGCUGUAUCUGGC